UCAGACCUGUCCUCACCAGAGCGGGAAGCUGUGGAGGAGUUGGUGCCCAGCAUUCGCAGAUCCAACGUGCCUCACAUCACACUGGCUCCAGACGUCCGCAGACGACCGAGGCAUGCAACGAGCGAGUACUCCACGCGAUGCAGCUUCACGGACUGCGUUCGGGUGAACGGAGAAGCCAUCGCCCAGCAUGAAAGCGACCAAUCUGUCAAGCUGCAGCACAUUUUGUCCAUUGCUGAUUCUGGCACAUUCAGUAUAGGCGAUCAUCUAGGGUUCUGUGGGGUGGCCCUACGCAACACAAAACUGUUCCCACCACUAUCUCCUCUGCCCUGCAUGGAGAGUGUUCAGCAUAAAGCAUGUGCAUAAGUAGACCCUGGGUAGUUCUCAAGCACAUGGCCUUUUGGACAAUUGAUAACAGACGGUCUUUCUUUCUGGUGGCAUCUGGUAGAGAAGCUUCAGCUGUGAGCCGGUUGGUUGACAUUGACGAGCGGAGCUUCGCACUCAAAGUUAAAUAUAGUUUUCAGCGUGGAGCUGCUUGCUUAUUGGAAAAACGAGCGUGUC